UACAGAGGUCCCGAGCGUUGUUCGGAUUUAUUGGGCGUAAAGGGUGCGUAGGCGGCGGAGUAAGUUGGGUGUGAAAUCCCGGGGCUUAACCUCGGAAUUGCAUUCAAUACUGCUUCGCUAGAGUACUGGAGAGGAGGCUGGAAUUUACGGUGUAGCAGUGAAAUGCGUAGAUAUCGUAAGGAAGGCCGGUGGCGAAAGCGAGCCUCUGGACAGUUACUGACGCUGAGGCACGAAGGCCAGGGGAGCAAACAGG
rnacentral:rRNA from 1 species